GACGAACGCUGGCGGCGUGCUUAACACAUGCAAGUCGAACGGAAAGGCCUCUUUCGGGGGGUACUCGAGUGGCGAACGGGUGAGUAACACGUGAGUAACCUGCCCUUGACUUUGGGAUAACUUCAGGAAACUGGGGCUAAUACCGGAUAGGAGCUCCUGCUGCAUGGUGGGGGUUGGAAAGUUUCGGCGGUUGGGGAUGGACUCGCGGCUUAUCAGCUUGUUGGUGGGGUAGUGGCUUACCAAGGCUUUGACGGGUAGCCGGCCUGAGAGGGUGACCGGCCACAGUGGGACUGAGAUACGGCCCAGACUCCUACGGGAGGCAGCAGUGGGGAAUAUUGCACAAUGGGUGGAAGCCUGAUGCAGCAACGCCGUGUGCGGGAUGACGGCCUUCGGGUUGGAAACCGCUUUCGCUCAUGACGAAGCUUUGUGUGACGGUAGUGGGUAAAGAAGCACCGGCUAACUACGUG
rnacentral:rRNA from 1 species